UUAUGAGCAUGAUGAUCUCAUUACAUGAAGCUUGCCCCGUCAGAUGAAUUUUUUUUUUUUUAUCUAAUUCUUGAUCAAAUCUCAUUUUCUCUCUCUAGUGUGUGUGUGUGUGUAUAUAUCAUGAAAAUCGUGAAAAAAGGGUGCAUUGAAAGUGGGUGAAUUUACUGCCACGUGCAUAUAUUGUAUUCAGGUUUCAUGGAUAGACUUUUGCUCGUAGGUUAUCCAAUUUACAUAGGGAUUUUCCAGAAAUAAAAGAGAAGUAUCUGGAGCCUGGGAUGCUGAAAUAUAUCACUUUUAAUUGUCACGAAACCUUCUAGCUAUGUUCAAUGCAAUAGACAAAUCAAAAAUUGAUACUCGUGC
rnacentral:lncRNA from 1 species